GACGGAGGAUGCAAGUGUUAUCCGGAAUCACUGGGCGUAAAGCGUCUGUAGGUGGUUCGAAAAGUCCACUGUUAAAAAUUGAGGCUUAACUUCAAAGAUGCCGUGGAAACUUUCAAACUAGAGUAUGGUAGGGGUAGAGGGAAUUUCCAGUGGAGCGGUGAAAUGCGUAGAUAUUGGAAAGACCACCGAUGGCGAAGGCACUCUCACUGGGCCAUUACUGACACUGAGAAGACGAAAGCUAGGGGAGCAAAUGGG
rnacentral:rRNA from 1 species